CUUGUUAUUAACAGAAAGUAUUGCUUUUAAAAAAUGAGGUGACAAUAUAUUAAAUAAAGCCUUUCUGACAAUUUUCUUGGUUGACCAGUUUACUGAAGAGUAUCUUAUAGGUGACAAAAUAUCACCCAGAUGAAUGCUUUAUUAGUUGUUUGGCAAAGGAAGAAGAGUAAUACAUAAUAUUAGUAUUAGUGUAAUAAAGAUAAGCCAUAUGAAACACAUCUAACAUCUAGUUAAUUUUAAAACGAGUCAGACAACCUCGCAUACUGCUUCUUCUCAUGCUAGGUAGAUACCUUAAAACUGUGCAUGUAGCCAGUCUGGGAAGAUAUAAUGACAUAACUUAGUGUGAUUCCCUAAACAAGGACUAUUUCGGGGUUUUUUUUGAGGAACAUUAGCCCUGAGUUAACUACUGCUAAUCUUCCUCUUUUUGCUGAGGAAGACUGGCCCUGAGCUAACAUCCAUGCCCAUCUUCCUCCAUUUUAUAUGUGGGACGCCUACCACAGCAUGGCUUUCGCCAAGCGGUGCCAUGUCUGCACCCGGGAUCCCAACCGGCAAACCCUGGGCCACCGAGAAGCGGAACGUGCAAACUUAACCGCUGCGCCACUGGACUGGCCCCACAAGGACUAUUUCAAACUAAGAAACUAUUUUAACUGAGGUUGUGGAGUCUGGCAAUUCCUUCAGGUGAGUGUAUGGGCUUAUUUAAAACCUUUUGAGAAACAAAACAAAAAUAACUAAGCUUAAGAGGCAAAUAGCUUCUUUGAGUCACCUUCAAGUGUGAUUAGAGCUGCUUAUUACUUAAGAUGGGGAACAAGUUAAACCUGAGCGUUCCUGCUUUCUUGCUCUUCUAGUAUCAUUUCGAUCUCAGAAGGUAAAUUUGAGAGAAAUGACCCUCCAUGGGUUACGAGAAAGACUAUUUGAUAGCUUAGUGUUUCUUAUGCCUGAAUACAAAAUUUUGAAUUGAUUCCCACUACUCACUGAUUUGGAAUUCUAACAAAUAUAAAUAGCUAUUUAUCUCAAUGCAAGUGAGUGGUUUUCAUUUCAAAUACUUCUAAAUACAUUCCUAAUGGAAACUUCUGGCUUUUUGUUAUUUUGAGUGGUUAUGUUCAUCCCCUAAAUUCAAUCUCACCUGACAUAAUUUGACUUCAUAUAAACACAAUACCACACUCAUGCUGCCAGAUCUUACACUUUGUUUCUUAAACUAUGCUCUGUAAAUGAUAAUUUAAAUAGUUAUAUAAACAUGAAAUCCACUCCUUCUCUAAAUUUCUUGAACAUUCAAUCUUUUCAUAAACUAGAAAGCUAAAUUAUUACUGUCACAUUCAAUUUGGAAUUAACUGUUUUGACAAAUAUUGGCCAACUGCACGGCUGAAAAAAAGCCUAGAAACUCUCUAUAUUAAAACAAUAAUUUCAACUACUCUCAGAAAAACCUAAAAUCAAACGAAAAUAUCAUCAAGAAUAACAAUGCACCAGCAAAAGGAGAGCUCACAUUAACUUCCAUCAGAAGAUAGUCUCAUUGCUCAGCAAAUUAAUGCUAUUUACAACAAAACUUUAGGAUAAUACAAAUAGAAAUCAGCAAGUACUUUCACCACCACCGUGCUCGUCAUAAAAUCAAGCUUUCUUAAUGAGUUUAUUCACAAUAUUUUAUGAGACUCCCUUA
rnacentral:lncRNA from 1 species